UAAUAAUAAUAAUAAUAAUAAUAAUAAUAAUAAUAAUAGUUUUAUUUUUACCUGCUGCUUCCCAAAGUUUGAGGAAAGUUACAACACAGUUAAAAUGCAAUAGAGAAAAAUAUAAAUGUAGAUCAAAAACACAAAGGCAAGUUUAAAACACACAAAAAAAAUCAAUCAUAGCUAUAAAAUAUCAAUCGAAAGUUAAAAUUGACUGGGUAAGCCUGCCAGAAGAGAUAGGUCUUUAGUUAUUUUUAAAAAAUUCUGACAGCUUGCUUUGCUGUGGAAUAACUUCCAGAGGUCAUUCCACAGCCUAGGAGCAGACGAGGAACAGGUUAUCUGGGUGACAGCUGCCAGUCAAGUUCUGGCUGACUGAUGUAAACAUCCCUAGAAAGACCUGUAUGUAUGGGGUGGAGGUUAUCCUGUAGGUAAACAAGACCUAGCCAAGUGGGCUUUACAGGUAAUAACCAACACUUCGUUGGUUAAAAUAGAUGAAAUAUGCUCACACUUGGGUGUACCAGUAAUCAAUCUAGCUGCCAUUUCUUGAAAUAAUUGGAACUUCUGAACUUGGUACAGAGGUAAUCCAAUGUACAGCACAUUCCAGAAGUCCACCCUUAAUGUAACCAGUGCAAUUACCAUCUUAGGGUCUUCCCAUUCUACAAAAGGGGCACAGCUGGCAUAUUAGCUGAAACUGUUAAUAAGCACUCCUAACUUUCGUAUCUAUCUGACAUAACAUUUGUUGAGACAGAUCCAGAGCACUCCGAAGCUGCACACAGUCUUUCAGGAGGAGUGGAGUCCUAUCCAAAACUGGGCACAUCUCCAAUCCGAGAUUAGAUUUUUAAUAGUAGGUGUCACUCUCUUGUAUGGAUUCAGUUUAAAUUUAUUAGUUUUUUUCAUGCAGCCUAUUACUUCCUCCAACAUGUUUAAAAUAUUGAAAAAAUUUACAUCUGAAGCGGCCUUGUACUGAAGAAGACCAUUAGUCCGUAUUGUCCUACAUACCUGGCACCAUCUUUCUGGGAUUACAGGCCCAGGAAUGUACUUUUAAAGCAACAUUACCUAAAAUGGUUAAACUGGAAAAAUUGGGCAUUGAUAGAAAAAAAAUAGUAUGAUAGCCAUGUCUAUAAAAUGUCAAGGUGAAAGGACAUGAUUGAAAGGUGAUAUGAUAGCUAUAUUUCAAUACGUUGAAGUGUUUCACAUAGAAAAUGGAGCAGAUUUGUUUCCUGCUACUCCAGAAAGGAGAACAUGAAUAAGUGAAUUCAAAUUAUAAGGAAAGAGAUUUUUCCUAAGUAGUCAGAAAACCUUCAUGAUGGUAAGAGUGUUCAAAAGUGGAAUAGACUACCCUGGUGGAUUGUGUAUUCUCCAUCUUUGGAGGUCUUGAAACAGACGUUGGAUGGACACCUUUUUGGCAGUGCUUCAAUUGUGUAUUCCUGCAUUGCAUGUUUUGGGUCCAAACUACCUACAGUAUGUAUUCACAGGUCCUCUGGGAAAUAUUUACUUCAGUCAGCCAGUACUAGGUAGGCUAGCAACUGUCAUCUUGAGGAUUUUUUUUUUCCCCGCUGCCUUCAGACUGCUGAAUGACCUGCCAGAAGUGAUUCAACAUCUGGAUAUGCUGUUUGAAUGUAAAAUAAAAUUAAAAACCAGUUUCUUCCAGCAGACCUGCUGAGAUUUUUUUUUUUUGAGUAAUGAAUUUUAAAGUACAGAUUGAUUGUUUUUAAUAUGAAUAUUUUCUUUUAAUUGAGAUUAUAUGUUUUGAACUUGUAUUCUGUGCUUUUAAUUAAUGUUUGUGUUGCAUUUUAAUGUGUUGCUGUUCCCCACUUUGAUCCAUAGGAAGAAGCAGGUGACAUUUGUUGUUGUUGCAGGCAAACAGAGUAUGAGUUGACCAAGGUAACCCAGUGGAUUUCCAUGGCUGUGUUGGAAUUGAACCCUGGUCACAUGGAGUCCUUGUCCAACACUCAAACUACUACACCAUGUUGGCUCUAAAAUUGCAAAUACUCCAGAUGAGAUCAUAAUUGGUAAUUGGUCACUGAUUUACCUUCUUUAGCAAACCUAGUUAAAUAUUUUUCUAAACUGUUCACAUGGUGUUUCUCCAGGUAGCUGCAAAACUGAAACAAUGUCACCGAUUCAGCUGGGAGGUCUGCUGAAGGAAAGAACAGGCUGCCUCCAACUAUCUGUUCCAGGAACAUCUGCAGAACUGAAAGAGAAUGCAAAUAAAUUAGGAAUAAGACACUCCUCAUAAGUAUUUGUGGCUUGGGUGUUUUGGAAGUUAGUUGAGUUCUUAAAUAAGUACAGUAUUACCAAGAUGUAUUCCUUUUCUUUACUUCUAGCCAAAUCUGGAAAUUUAUUUUCAAAAUAUAAUUACAGUAGAGUCUCACUUAUCCAACACUCGCUUAUCCAACAUUCUAGACUAUCCAACGCAUUUUUGUAGUCGAUGUUUUCAAUAUAUCGUGAUAUUUUGGUGCUAAAUUCGUAAAUACAGUAAUUACUACAUAGCAUUACUGUGUAUUGAACUACUUUUUCUGUCAAAUUUGUUGUAUAACAUGAUGUUUUGGUGCUUAAUUUGUAAAAUCAUAACCUAAUUUGAUGUUUAAUAGGCUUUUCCUUAAUCUCUCCUUAUUAUCCAAGAUAUUCGCUUAUCCAAGCUUCUGCCGGUCCGUUUGGAUAAGUGAGACUCUACUGUAUUCUCAAAAUCAUAUCCACAUGUAGCAAUUAGAAACUGAACCUAAUUUAAGAUGUGUACAGUUGGUAUCCUUAUAACGUUCUGCCGGCCCGUUUACGUUGGAUAAGUGAGACUCUACUGUAGUUACAGUAAGAGCUAAGAGAAGCUCACAAGUAUUUAGCUACUGCUACAGUUGCAACUUUUAAAAAAACCAUUUUAAUAAAAAUAACUGAAUCAGUGAUUGAAGUUACUUUUUUAAAACAUCUGAAUGCUACAAGCCACUGGAUUUUGGUACAAAACACACAGUUCUCAUUGCAUUGUCUUCAUACAACAUAAUACACAGCUGCCACAUAACUUGCAGCACGAGUCAGUGCUUGAACCCACCACGGAGGGAGGAUACAUUCCAUAACCAUAAGUUACUUCCCAUUAAAUUUCAGUUGUAAAGUAAUUUAGAGCUCAUCUACACAGAUGAAAAAAUGCACUUUCACUCUGUAUUUCUAGGUCUGCAGUGAUGCAACAGUGACUGUUAAUGUCAUACACACCAGACACAUUGUAGUGAGAUCCAACACAACAAAGUGAUGCUCCCUGGAGGACCAGCCACACAUCUAAAAAAUUGAAUUUUAUGGAAAACCACAGAGUAAAGGAACAUUUUUCCUGCUGUACAGACAACCCCGUAGUUAUAACUUAUAACUGUUAUGGAAAUGAAUUGAUUACAACAGCUCCCCAGGUUUGCAGAACAAGUAAUUUCUUUAACAAGUUUAACAUUGAGUCCAAUGCACUCAAGUCCAUUGUGAUCUUGUGCCAUCUGCUCAGGACAGAUAAGUACUGUGAUGACUCAUGGGCCAUGUAGUCCCGUUCCAAGUACUAUUGUGGCAGAUGAAGAGGAAAACUUGGGUUUCCCACCGUUUCUGCCAGAUUUGGAGCCCUUGCACCUGCAAGAUGUUUGCCCACAAGAAGACAGCCAAACAAGCCUUGAGCAGAAAUCUCCCCCAUUUUCUCGCCGGGUUUAUUAUAAUCAAGAUAGAAGCGCUCCAGAGGCGACUUGCCGGAGCGCCAGGAUAGCUGCCAGACAAUUAGCUGAUUAAGUCUGCUUCCCUUGGGAAACUUUAAGGAGUCAUGCAUCUGGACACAGUAUAGGUUUCGUUUCUUGUUCCCCAGAGAAAGUGUUCCUUGGCGGGAAAACAAGAUCCUAUAUAGGUGUUUGGCCGCAAAGGAAUCCUUGCGGAGUCAAUUCAUCAGCUUCGGGAGUAGAUUGUGUGUGGACUACGCUACUCCAGUUUCCAGGACCUUGCUCUCAUUCCAGCCCUGCCUUGUUCCCCGGACCUCGCCACGGAUUUCGCCACGGACCCUGUUCUUGCUCCUCGCUUCUUGUUGCCUUGAAUCAAGCCUUGUUUGCCAAGAAUCUAGUUUGCUCCCCAGCCUUGCAUCAAGCUCCAUGGACUAAAGGACCUUGUCAUUUCCCCUCACUUUGCUUGGCAAAGUGUGUGUUUCGGUUAUUGGAUUACAACUUUGGACUUUAAUAUCUCAUAUUGGACAUUGUUUUCCUGGACUAUAUUUGACCUUUCCUGAAAGGUCUACUUCUGAACUAUAUUCUACACUUGUUUUUAUUAACUUUAUAUAUUUCCUUAAUAAAGAUAUUAGAUAGA